UAAGGAAUAUUGGACAAUGGGCGCAAGCCUGAUCCAGCCAUGCCGCGUGAGUGAAGAAGGCCUUCGGGUUGUAAAGCUCUUUCGGUUGGGAAGAAAUUGCUUCGGAUAAUACCCGGAGUAGAUGACGGUACCAGCAUAAGAAGCACCGGCUAACUACGUGCCAGCAGCCGCGGUAAUACGUAGGGUGCGAGCGUUAAUCGGAAUUACUGGGCGUAAAGCGUGCGCAGGCGGUUGUGUAAGUCAGAUGUGAAAUCCCCGGGCUCAACCUGGGAACUGCAUUUGAGACUGCACGGCUAGAGUGUGGCAGAGGGGGGUAGAAUUCCACGUGUAGCAGUGAAAUGCGUAGAGAUGUGGAGGAAUACCGAUGGCGAAGGCAGCCCCCUGGGCCAAUACUGACGCUCAUGCACGAAAGCGUGGGGAGCAAACA
rnacentral:rRNA from 1 species